rnacentral:rRNA from 1 species
CGGUCCUCUUCGGGGGACAGUGGUGAACGGCUGAGUAACGCGUGAGUAACCUGCCUCUGGGUGGGGGAUAACCCCCCGAAAGGGGGGCUAAUACCGCAUACGUCCGCCGGGCCCAGGCUCGGUGGGGAAAGGGUUUACCGCCCGGAGAGGGGCUCGCGUCCCAUCAGGUAGUUGGUGAGGUAACGGCCCACCAAGCCGAUGACGGGUAGCUGGUCUGAGAGGAUGGCCAGCCAGACUGGGACUGAGACACGGCCCAGACUCCUACGGGAGGCAGCAGUUAGGAAUCUUGCGCAAUGGGCGAAAGCCUGACGCAGCGACGCCGCGUGGGCGAAGAAGGCCUUCGGGUCGUAAAGCCCUUUUCCGGGGGAAGAUAAUGACGGUACCCCGGGAAUAAGCCCCGGCUAACUACGUGCCAGCAGCCGCGGUAAUACGUAGGGGGCGAGCGUUGUCCGGAUUUACUGGGCGUAAAGAGCGCGCAGGCGGCUCCGUAAGUCGGCUGUGAAAUCUCCCGGCUCAACCGGGAGGGGUCGGUCGAUACUGCGGGGCUAGGAAGGCGGUAGGGGGAGAUGGAAUUCCCGGUGUAGUGGUGAAAUGCGUAGAUAUCGGGAGGAACACCGAUGGCGAAAGCGAUCUCCUGGGCCGCUCUUGACGCUGAGGCGCGAAAGCGUGGGGAGCGAACUGAAUUAGAUACUCAGGUAGUCCACGCCCUAAACGAUGGACGCUAGGUGUGGGGGGUAUCGACCCCUCCCGUGCCGCAGCUAACGCAAUAAGCGUCCCGCCUGGGG